rnacentral:tRNA from 4 species
GCGGGUGUCGUAUAAUGGCUAUUAUGCAAGCUUCCCAAGCUUGAGAAGGGGGUCCGAUUCCCCUCACCCGCU